rnacentral:rRNA from 1 species
UACGGGGGGAGCAAGCGUUGUUCGGAUUCAUUGGGCGUAAAGGGUGCGUAGGCGGCGCGGUAAGUCGGAUGUGAAAUCUCGGAGCUUAACUCCGAAACUGCAUUCGAUACUGCCGUGCUUGAGGACUGGAGAGGAGACUGGAAUUUACGGUGUAGCGGUGAAAUGCGUAGAUAUCGUAAGGAAGACCAGUGGCGAAGGCGGGUCUCUGGACAGUUCCUGACGCUGAGGCACGAAGGCCAGGGGAGCAAACGGG